GCUUGUCUCAAAGAUUAAGCCAUGCAUGUCUAAGUGUAAAUACGUCUACACUGUGAAACUGCGAAUGGCUCAUUAAAUCAGUUAUCGUUUAUUUGAUGAUCUCUUGUUACAUGGAUAACCGUAGUAAUUCUAGAGCUAAUACAUGCACUCGAGCCUCGACCGAGGCCCCGGCAACGGGGUCGCGGAAGAGGUGCUUUUAUUAGAUCAAAACCAGUCGGGGAAACGAUCGCCGGGUCAAACCGGUCGGUCGCGGAACCGUACCAAUUUUGGUGACUCUGGAUAACUUCACGCCGAUCGCACGGCCUUCGCGCCGGCGACGUAUCUUUCAAAUGUCUGCCUUAUCAACUGUCGAUGGUAGGUUACGCGCCUACCAUGGUUGCAACGGGUAACGGGGAAUCGGGGUUCGAUUCCGGAGAGGGAGCCUGAGAAACGGCUACCACAUCCAAGGAAGGCAGCAGG
rnacentral:rRNA from 1 species